GUGCUCGCUUUGGCAGCACAUAUACCAAAAUUGGAAUGAUACACAGAAGAUUAGCUUGGCCCCUGUCCAGACUAUAGUGACAGAUGGUGGCUACAGCUACACUUUU